CACAGCUGCAAGGGACUCCACAGCUGCAACACACUCGAUGGGUGGUCCCCCCAAGCAUCUUCUUGCUCAUUUACAUGGGACAUGCUUAUUGGAAAAACUGGUGCUGAGAAAAAGGUCAAGUUGCUAAAUGAAAUGUGACCGUAAUUACCUGAAGUGAGACAUACAACUUACGUGGUGCUCUGUCUUGUAAAGGCCGCAGCACAGAAAAUGUGUCCUCUGUUGGAUUGUACAGAAAAUGUUGAGUUACCUAGUGUUGGGGUUUAUCCCAAGUGUCUUGGUGCUCCACUUCCUGGCAGAACCUCACAGGCAUUUCAGAUUCCGAGAUGUCAGAUGUGUAGCAUGCCUGUUUCCAUUUCUUUGAAAUCUUGUCAAAAGAUGCUGAAAGAAAUAAAAAUUCUGGCCUGAUGCUUGGUCCAACCUUUAUCUGGUUGUGGUGCCUCCAUCAACCGGACACUCUUCAACACCCUGUCUAUCUCCUUGUAUGGAGGCCACCACGAGUGACCCUCUGAGUACCAAGACUUUGCGACAGGUCCGGUACUCCCUUCGUGAAUGAACUCCACUAUCAGGUACAUUUUUUUUAAGCUGCAAGAACCUAGAGCCCCAUAGUGUUGAAAGACACAUAUUACAUUUCGGUUGUUUAUGUGCAUGAUUCAAAUACACAAAAUACAUUUCAUGCAAAAUAAUGAUGCAAGUUAAUAUUGAGAAAUUUUUUCCCAAGCACAUAUUACCAAUUCCAGACCACAUCAAUCUUAAGAACCACUACUACUUUUGUAUUCAUCAUUCUUUAUUGAUAUAUAAUUUUCUGACAACACUCAAAGUAAAAAAUGCUUUAAAUUCAGGUGUUUUACUGAUAAAAAUAUAACUUGGACUGAAAAGUUGCAAAAUUAUUAAAUGACGGUGAAAAGAAGGCAAUACUAGAAAUUGCAAAAUAAAGUAAUGACAACUAUUUUGGAUCAUUUGAAUCGAGCUAUUUUCACUUUCUGCCUUCAUAUAAUAUUACAUAUUGGUUAUAGUUGUAAUUAGGGCUUGACAUUAAUACUCGCCAAACCACCAAAUGCAGGUAGAUUUCAGCUGUGGCGGGUAAAGACUGCCAUUUCCACUAGCCACUUUGGCUGGUUGAAAAUAAUUUUUUAAUCGUAGUUUUCUUAAAAGCAGGGUUCAACAAUAAGGAUGGUCCAGUUUUUGGGACAGUAGACAGGAUUGUCAGUGUCCUGACCAGGCCAGUGCUGGCUUAUCACUAAAUAUUAUAAUUUCAGUUUUUUACCGUUUAUCAAUAUGCAUGCAAAUGUGAUAAAAAAAAAUUAUAUAUAUUUAUUUUUUUCAAAAUUAGUGGUAUACACAGUAAUGAGUGGAACAGCAAAUGAGAUUUUAGAAUCAAGAAGCAGCAUGAUUGACAAAAACAACUGUGUUUAUGCAAAACAAAAGAUAGCAGAUAAAUACCAAAUGAGAGCUUGAUCAUACACACUGUGAGACACAGGCUAUUCUUACUCACUGAGAGAUGUUUUUGAGAGCCGAGUGUUUAAAAUACUUGUGCACUACCGUGUCCUUGCAUGUAGCAAUCCUCCUUGGAAAUGAAACUGGUGUGAUGGAUUCUAUUUGAAAUAGACUGGACAAAAGUAAUUGUCGUGCAUCCACAGUCCUUCUGCUUUCAAGAGCUUUAGAUUUAAAAACAGGUAUUUGUAAGCAGCAGUGAUUGCCACUUUAACCAUUGUUUGAACAGAUUAUUAAUGUGCCUAAUGUUAACUGUGUGCACAUGAUUAAUAUUUCAUUAUCACACAUGGUUUGUUUUUCACCUGCUUUCUUUUGCUUGCAAGUCAAUUUUCUGCAUAUAAAAUAUAUUUUCCCAACAACAAAAUUGUGGCUAGUGAAAAAGGCAAGUGGCUAGUAACCUUGGAAACUACAAGCCUCAGUGACUGGUGAUAAAAAAAGUCAAUAUCAAGCCCUGGUAGUGAUUAAGGUUUACAAUUUUCAAAAUGCUCUAGGAAAAAAUAUGAUCAGAAUAUCCUCUUGCACAAUAAUUAUACUCGCACUAUACAGUAUAUGUAAAAAAAAAAACAUGUGGAAAUAGAUAGAUACUAUGUGUGUAAAGUUUAAACUGAAACAAAAUAAUUUCUGCAAGGGACUAAAAAAGCUUUCAUUUCAAUAUUUUCAAUCUUGCAGAGAUGGAUUGGUCCUGACAUGACAUCAGUAGGUAGAUGCCAAGUGUGGAGGAUGGAAGCGUGGGGAUAGUCAAAAAGGAGUUAAUGUUUGCUGAAGGUGGUGUAGACCAUGUAAAUGCCAUGCUUUUCUGAAAUUAUGUUUUGCAGCUUUGCAACCUUUCUGCCAAUAUAGACAAAUGGUUUGCCUGGUCCAGUUUCAGAGUAUAUGGGCAUACUCACUCUAGGUGCAUUUCUGAGGAAUGCCAUCCUGUUUUCCAGGUGCACACCAUCCUGAAUACAUGUUUCACACCCAUGGUAACCUGGUUGGCCAUUUUAGAAAAGCAUGUUGCAAAAGCAAACUUGAAUGUUAACUUUAGUCAUUCAAAUUCAAAGCCAUUUUUUUUAACUCUUUGAUUUCAGAGAUUAGGUCUUCGAGAUACUCAUUCAGGGAGCUAGUUUUACAGUACCUUCAGCCCACAAUAAAUCUAUUGGCACAUGUUCCCCCUGCACCAAAUUUUAAACUUCUACUAGACUGAGCCAGCAUUGAGCAAAUGAACUCUUGUAGAGAGGAAGACCAUCAAUGCUCACCUGGAACUUAAAAUUUUUAUCUUCCUUAAAAUGUACAUGUUGUCAUAGAGGACCCUUGAAAUGGAUGCCAUUGAACCAAAAGUAUAUCACUGGCCCUGUGCGUUCAAAGAGAACUCAUGUGCAAAAAGAAGGCUAUUCUCUUUGAACGCACUUUACCUAACAUUGUCCUUGUAUCUUUUGGCAGACUCGGAUUGUAAUUGUGAAUGAUUAUGAGUAAUUCAUUUAGUGAUGCAUGUGUUAAUUUUUUUUUCUGUUUCCCAUCUUGUCAAAGUCAUCAUUGAGGGGACUUGAACUAGUCAGAUUGACUCGUUUAUGAAGCACUUGCCAGGAUGAUACUGCAUUCAGUCUCAUUAACAUGGGACAAACAGUCCAAGAAGUCAGUGCCGUCUUCAACAGUGCUGCUUGUCAAUGCCACCAUACUGUUCCCUCAAUAGUGAUGCUUAUAACACAUGCAUUGAAUAAAGCUGUUUGUCCACCUUG